AUUGAACGCUGGCGGAAUGCUUCACACAUGCAAGUCGAACGGCAGCACGGACUUCGGUCUGGUGGCGAGUGGCGAACGGGUGAGUAAUGUAUCGGAACGUGCCCAGUCGUGGGGGAUAACGUAGUGAAAAUUACGCUAAUACCGCAUACGAACUAUGGAUGAAAGCGGGGGAUCGCAAGACCUCGCGCGAUUGGAGCGGCCGAUAUCAGAUUAGGUAGUUGGUGGGGUAAAGGCCCACCAAGCCAACGAUCUGUAGCGGGUCUGAGAGGACGACCAGCCACACUGGAACUGAGACACGGUACAGACUCCUACGGGAGGCAGCAUUGGGGAAUUUUGGACAAUGGGCGAAAGCCUGAUCCAGCCAUUCCGCGUGCAGGAUGAAGGCCCUCGGGUUGUAAACUGCUUUUGUACAGAACGAAAAGGUUUCUACUAAUACUAGGAGCUCAUGACGGUACUGUAAGAAUAAGCACCGGCUAACUACGUGCCAGCCGCCGCCGUAA
rnacentral:rRNA from 1 species